CUUAGGGCUAAGCUGGAUUUCAACACCUGGCAGACUGCUUUUUAGACAUUUAACAGCCACUUAAUUAUAAGCAACAGUGUUACUCACAAGACAGUGGUCCCGAAACUCCAAACAGUACUGAUGUUGCCCAUGAGGACCCAGGGCUCUCCAUGACCCACCAUGCGGGGGAGAGUCCCUUCAACUUGGAAAGGGGGAGGUGGUGAGUGUUGGGACGCUCAGUACCCUGGGGUUGCGGUGUCGAGUGACGAGCAUGAGCAACAGCUGGAAGGCUACCAACAGCUGGUGGCUCUGUCUUGAAGGCUGAGCACUCAGCCUUGUGUUGCUUCAGAAACGUGCACACCAGCCCAAGGGCGGGCUUCAGCAGGACUCUGCAAAAUGGCUUUAAAGGUGACACAUGACACU